rnacentral:rRNA from 1 species
GACGAACGCUGGCGGCGUGCUUAACACAUGCAAGUCGAACGAUGAACCCGGAGCUUGCUCCGGCGGAUUAGUGGCGAACGGGUGAGUAACACGUGAGUAACCUGCCCUUGACUCUGGGAUAACUGCUAGAAAUGGUAGCUAAUACCGGAUACGACCCUCGGUGGCAUCACCAGGGGGUGGAAAGAAUUUCGGUCAAGGAUGGACUCGCGGCCUAUCAGCUAGUUGGUGAGGUAACGGCUCACCAAGGCGACGACGGGUAGCCGGCCUGAGAGGGUGACCGGCCACACUGGGACUGAGACACGGCCCAGACUCCUACGGGAGGCAGCAGUGGGGAAUAUUGCACAAUGGGCGCAAGCCUGAUGCAGCGACGCCGCGUGAGGGAUGACGGCCUUCGGGUUGUAAACCUCUUUCAGCUAUGACGAAGCGCAAGUGACGGUAGUAGCAGAAGAAGGACCGGCCAACUACGUGCCAGCAGCCGCGGUAA